GCCGCGGUAGUACAGCCCGGUCAAGCUUAAUGCGCCGGUAGUAUGCGGGCCUCUCAAGCCCGUGACCCGGGUUCAAAUCCCGGCCGCG
rnacentral:tRNA from 1 species